AUAAUGGGUCAGCGACUUAUAUUCUGUAGCAAGGUUAACCGAAUAGGGGAGCCGAAGGGAAACCGAGUCUUAACUGGGCGUUAAGUUGCAGGGUAUAGACCCGAAACCCGGUGAUCUAGCCAUGGGCAGGUUGAAGGUUGGGUAACACUAACUGGAGGACCGAACCGACUAAUGUUGAAAAAUUAGCGGAUGACUUGUGGCUGGGGGUGAAAGGCCAAUCAAACCGGGAGAUAGCUGGUUCUCCCCGAAAGCUAUUUAGGUAGCGCCUCGUGAAUUCAUCUCCGGGGGUAGAGCACUGUUUCGGCAAGGGGGUCAUCCCGACUUACCAACCCGAUGCAAACUGCGAAUACCGGAGAAUGUUAUCACGGGAGACACACGGCGGGUGCUAACGUCCGUCGUGAAGAGGGAAACAACCCAGACCGCCAGCUAAGGUCCCAAAGUCAUGGUUAAGUGGGAAACGAUGUGGGAAGGCCCAGACAGCCAGGAUGUUGGCUUAGAAGCAGCCAUCAUUUAAAGAAAGCGUAAUAGCUCACUGGUCGAGUCGGCCUGCGCGGAAGAUGUAACGGGGCUAAACCAUGCACCGAAGCUGCGGCAGCGACGCUUAUGCGUUGUUGGGUAGGGGAGCGUUCUGUAAGCCUGCGAAGGUGUGCUGUGAGGCAUGCUGGAGGUAUCAGAAGUGCGAAUGCUGACAUAAGUAACGAUAAAGCGGGUGAAAAGCCCGCUCGCCGGAAGACCAAGGGUUCCUGUCCAACGUUAAUCGGGGCAGGGUGAGUCGACCCCUAAGGCGAGGCCGAAAGGCGUAGUCGAUGGGAAACAGGUUAAUAUUCCUGUACUUGGUGUUACUGCGAAGGGGGGACGGAGAAGGCUAUGUUGGCCGGGCGACGGUUGUCCCGGUUUAAGCGUGUAGGCUGGUUUUCCAGGCAAAUCCGGAAAAUCAAGGCUGAGGCGUGAUGACGAGGCACUACGGUGCUGAAGCAACAAAUGCCCUGCUUCCAGGAAAAGCCUCUAAGCAUCAGGUAACAUCAAAUCGUACCCCAAACCGACACAGGUGGUCAGGUAGAGAAUACCAAGGCGCUUGAGAGAACUCGGGUGAAGGAACUAGGCAAAAUGGUGCCGUAACUUCGGGAGAAGGCACGCUGAUAUGUAGGUGAAGUCCCUCGCGGAUGGAGCUGAAAUCAGUCGAAGAUACCAGCUGGCUGCAACUGUUUAUUAAAAACACAGCACUGUGCAAACACGAAAGUGGACGUAUACGGUGUGACGCCUGCCCGGUGCCGGAAGGUUAAUUGAUGGGGUUAGCGCAAGCGAAGCUCUUGAUCGAAGCCCCGGUAAACGGCGGCCGUAACUAUAACGGUCCUAAGGUAGCGAAAUUCCUUGUCGGGUAAGUUCCGACCUGCACGAAUGGCGUAAUGAUGGCCAGGCUGUCUCCACCCGAGACUCAGUGAAAUUGAACUCGCUGUGAAGAUGCAGUGUACCCGCGGCAAGACGGAAAGACCCCGUGAACCUUUACUAUAGCUUGACACUGAACAUUGAGCCUUGAUGUGUAGGAUAGGUGGGAGGCUUUGAAGUGUGGACGCCAGUCUGCAUGGAGCCGACCUUGAAAUACCACCCUUUAAUGUUUGAUGUUCUAACGUUGACCCGUGAUCCGGGUUGCGGACAGUGUCUGGUGGGUAGUUUGACUGGGGCGGUCUCCUCCUAAAGAGUAACGGAGGAGCACGAAGGUUGGCUAAUCCUGGUCGGACAUCAGGAGGUUAGUGCAAUGGCAUAAGCCAGCUUGACUGCGAGCGUGACGGCGCGAGCAGGUGCGAAAGCAGGUCAUAGUGAUCCGGUGGUUCUGAAUGGAAGGGCCAUCGCUCAACGGAUAAAAGGUACUCCGGGGAUAACAGGCUGAUACCGCCCAAGAGUUCAUAUCGACGGCGGUGUUUGGCACCUCGAUGUCGGCUCAUCACAUCCUGGGGCUGAAGUAGGUCCCAAGGGUAUGGCUGUUCGCCAUUUAAAGUGGUACGCGAGCUGGGUUUAGAACGUCGUGAGACAGUUCGGUCCCUAUCUGCCGUGGGCGCUGGAGAACUGAGGGGGGCUGCUCCUAGUACGAGAGGACCGGAGUGGACGCAUCACUGGUGUUCGGGUUGUCAUGCCAAUGGCACUGCCCGGUAGCUAAAUGCGGAAGAGAUAAGUGCUGAAAGCAUCUAAGCACGAAACUUGCCCCGAGAUGAGUUCUCCCUGACUCCUUGAGAGUCCUGAAGGAACGUUGAAG
rnacentral:rRNA from 1 species